rnacentral:rRNA from 1 species
GUUGAACGCUGGCGGCGUGCCUAAUACAUGCAAGUCGAGCGAACUUUUGGGAGCUUGCUCCCAAAUGUUAGCGGCGGACGGGUGAGUAACCCGUGGGUCACCUUCCUGUUAGACUGGGAUAACUUCGGGCAACCGGUGCUACUACCUGCUAACAUUGAAGACCACAUGGCCUUCUUUUAACCUCUGGCUUUUAGCUACCCCUUACAGGUGUUCCCGCGGCGCAUUAGCUAGUUGGUGCGGUAACGGCUCACCAAAGCGACUGUGCGUAGCCGACCUGACAGGGUGAUAGGACAAAAUGGGACUGAGAAACGGCACAGACUCCUACGGGAGGAAGGAGGAGGGAAUCAUCCGAAAUGGACGAAAGUCUGACGGAGCAAAGCCGCGGGAGGGAAGAAGGCUUUCGUGUCGGAAAGCUAUGUUGUUAGGGAAGAAAAAGUAGCGUGCGAAUAGGGCGGUAUCUUGACGUUACCAAAAGAGAAAGCAACGGCUAACUACGUG